rnacentral:rRNA from 1 species
UAACUGAAGAGUUUGAUCAUGGCUCAGAUUGAACGCUGGCGGCAGGCUUAACACAUGCAAGUCGAGCGGGGGAAGGUAGCUUGCUACUGGACCUAGCGGCGGACGGGUGAGUAAUGCUUAGGAAUCUGCCUAUUAGUGGGGGACAACAUCUCGAAAGGGAUGCUAAUACCGCAUA